rnacentral:rRNA from 1 species
ACUCCUACGGGAGGCAGCAGUGGGGAAUUUUGGACAAUGGGCGAAAGCCUGAUCCAGCAAUGCCGCGUGUGCGAAGAAGGCCUUCGGGUUGUAAAGCACUUUUGUCAGGGAAGAAAUCGUUUGGGUUAAUACCCCGAGCAGUUGACGGUACCUGAAGAAUAAGCCCCGGCUAACUACGUGCCAGCAGCCGCGGUAAUAC